CACGGGGUAGCACAGUGGAAGCGCGCGUCACUGCUAUGUGACGAGGACGCAGGUUCGAUUCCUGCCCCCAAGGCAA
rnacentral:tRNA from 1 species